rnacentral:rRNA from 1 species
UACAGAGGUCUCAAGCGUUGUUCGGAUUCAUUGGGCGUAAAGGGUGCGUAGGUGGUGCCGUAAGUCUGGCGUGAAAUCUUGGAGCUUAACUCCGAAACUGCAUUCGAUACUGCCGUGCUUGAGGACUGGAGAGGAGACUGGAAUUUACGGUGUAGCGGUGAAAUGCGUAGAUAUCGUAAGGAAGACCAGUGGCGAAGGCGGGUCUCUGGACAGUUCCUGACGCUGAGGCACGAAGGCCAGGGGAGCAAACGGG